GGGCUUACACAAGCGGUGGAGCAUGUGGUUUAAUUCGAAACAACGCGCAGAACCUUACCAAUCCUUGCAAUAUACAGAAAACAAUGGUUAUGCUUUGUAUUUUGGUAUACAGGCGCUGCAUGGCUGUCGUCAGUUCGUGGCGUGAGCUGUUGGGUUAAGUCCUAGAACGAACGCAACCCUCUUGAUAUGUGUAUAUUUUUAAAGUAUACCUUAUCAUACUGCCAGUGACAUACGGGAGGAAGGUGAGGAUGACGUCAAGUCCGCAUGGCCCUUAUGGGUUGGGCUACACACGUGCUACAAUGGCGGAAGCAAAAGGUGGCAAUAUGGUGACAUGGAGCAAAUCCUUAAAAACCGUCGUAGUUCAGAUUGUUCUCUGCAACUCGAGAACAUGAAGAUGGAAUCGCUAGUAAUCGUAGAUC
rnacentral:rRNA from 1 species